rnacentral:rRNA from 1 species
GUGAUCCACCUGGGGAGUACGAUUGCAAGAUUGAACUUCAAAGGAAUUGACGGGGCCCCGCACAAAGCGGAGGAACAUGUGGUUUAAUUCGAUGAUACCGCGAGGAACCUUACCUGGGCUUAAAUGCAUAACGACCGAUUCGGGAAACUGGUCUUUUCUUCGGACAGGUAUGCAAGGUGCUGCAUUGGCCUGUCGUCAGCUCGUGCCGUGAGGUGUCGGGUUAAGUCCCAUUACGAGCGCAACCCUCAGUCAUUAGUUUGCCAGCAGGGUAAUUGCCGGGGACUUCUAAUGAAACUGCCCGGUGUAACCNGAGAGGGAUAGGCGAGGAUGACGUCAAGUCAGCACGGCCCUUUAUGUCCAGGGCUACACACGUGUUACAAUGGUCAGUACAAAGGGGCAAGCUACCAGGCAACUGANUGCUAAUCUCAAAAGCUGGUCACAGUUCGGNAUCGGAGUCUGCUACUCGACUUCGUGAAGUUGGAUUCGCUAGUAAUCGCGCAUCAGCCAUGGCGCGGUGAUACGUUCCCGGGCCUGUACACACCGCCCGUCAANCA